GUUUGCAGCCGAGGCAAACACGCUGAUGUGGUGUCAAUAAACGUCUCGAUUCAGCUCCGUGUUUGGAAACAGUGUGUUGGCCGCAGCCCCUCCGUGGUGUCAUCAGUGCUGCUCGUUACACAAACUGCUCAAACUGUGCCUUUGUUUUGACACAACUUACAGAUCGUUUUUCAUCACCACCAGUCACUGCACGGAGAAAUCUCUGGAGCUGAUAGUCACUGCAUCAACACUGCUGUAGGAAAUCGAGCUGCAUUUUGUUUUCCUACGAAGAUAUCCGGUUUCCUCUGUCUGUUGCCCUUUGUGGACGUGUGUUGCUGUGUGCAGUGAAAUGCAGGGUGAAUUCCUGUGCCAGCACAGCCACCUCAUAACCCAGCUGUGCCAGAGCAUCACCACUGCUCCUACCUCUGCUCCAACAACCCUGCCAUGGCAUGAAGGAACUCAAACAGCAUUUUGCCUGCCCCAGGUACAGAUUGAUGUCUGCAAACUUUCUGCCUAUUAAAAUUGUGCCUCCAUCAGCAUCUCCUUCUGCAGGAACUUUGUGUGGUAAUUUCUAGAAGCUUUUUGUCUUCCAGAAGUCUAAACUUAGACAAUAAACAAACCCAGACAACCGCUUUUUCAGUCUGGAAAGGCAUAAAUAAGCAACCUGUACUUGUUAAAUUAGGUACUAUAAAAAUGCUGAGCUUUAAAUCAUUGUCCCGGUAAUUAUUGUCAUCAUUGUCGUUAUUAGAUGACAUAAGAUUUUAUUGCUGAUAAUUUGGAGGCUUUGAUACAUUUAUUUGAACUGACUGCUCCUUUGGCUAAGAAUAAUUGCUUAAACUUCUCUCAUGGGUUUUUGCUUCUAUAAAAAGAUUGUUGACCUUGAAGCUUUUGCUUGAUUUUGAAUUCUUAUUCAAAUGCAAGUGCCAAUAACCCAGACAAAAAAUGUAACCCACUAAGCAGAUGUUGGAUUUGGGGACCUCGUGCAGAGAAGUCAGGUUUUGUGUUGUCAGGGACCCCCAGCCUCUCU